rnacentral:tRNA from 1 species
GGAGAGUUGCCGGAGCGGUUGAACGGGGCGGUCUCGAAAACCGUUGAAGAUGGUGACAUCUUCCCAGGGUUCAAAUCCCUGACUCUCCGCCA